AGCAAAUAAAAAUAAAAGGCAGCUUUAAAAUGCUCUGCCCAAACCCUUCAUGGCAAGGACAGGAAGCCAUCCAUUUCUUUCUCUUUGUUUCCCAGGGAUCAGCACUUACAAAGGCCUCGUGUCAUCAGGUGUUAUGAAUACCGAAACCCAUCAGAUUGAUUGUGUGUCAUUCUGUGGACAUUAGAAGUAAUUCCUGUUAGUGAGAACAAUAAACCGGUGGAACAGAAGUUGCCUCCAGAAGCUGUGGGUGCUCCAUCACUGGAGGCUUUUAAGAAGCGGUUGGACAACCACAUGUCUGGAAUGGUAGAGGGUUUCCUGCUUAAGCAAGAGCAGCUCCAAGCCUCUUACAACUCCAGAAGACCAGAACAGCCUCCUGGGUUUCCGUUAUGGAGUUGACGUCUCCAUGGGACACACAUUAACACGAAAACUGAUGAAGGGAUGUGAGUUUCUUAGAUUCUUCCACGCAGAGUGCAAGAUCCAUUUCAGAGUAGCAUGAACAGCAACGAAGACUUAGAGCUCUCUGUUUAAUCCUUAGCAGGUGGGCGUCCACAUGGACGUCACUCUCAUGCAUCAGUAGUGAACCUCAAACAUGACCCCUUCUUCGGUGAGAGAGGGAUAAUUCUUCUGCCAUGUUUAUUUUAGCCCGUGCUCCCAUUUUGAAGGGGAAACGUUCAACCGUGCUAAAUAGUUGCAAGUUAAAGGUAACAGAUGUGUGAAGUGACUUGCAUCCUUGGAAGCAAGUCUAGCUAACAGCUUCCCUUUUGUCCAGCUCUGUGGCAUGCAGAUGUUUGUGCAAUAAAAACAGCUUUAAAUUGA